UGGGGAAUUUUGGACAAUGGGCGCAAGCCUGAUCCAGCAAUGCCGCGUGCAGGAUGAAGGCCUUCGGGUUGUAAACAGCUUUUGUACGGAACGAAAAGGCUCUGGUUAAUACCUGCGGCCCAUGACGGUAUCGUAAGAAUAAGCACCGGCUAACUACGUGCCAGCAGCCGCGGUAAUACGUAGGGUGCAAGCGUUAAUCGGAAUUACUGGGCGUAAAGCGUGCGCAGGCGGUUAUGUAAGUCAGAUGUGAAAUCCCCGGGCUCAACCUGGGAAUUGCAUUGGAGACUGCAAGGCUAGAAUCUGGCAGAGGUGGGUAGAAUUCCACGUGUAGCAGUGAAAUGCGUAGAUAUAUGGAGGAACACCGAUGGCGAAGGCAGCCCCCUGGGUCAAGAUUGACGCUCAUGCACGAAAGCGUGGGGAGCAAACG
rnacentral:rRNA from 1 species